UGUGGUUGUGGCUCAGUGGUAGAGCACUUGUCUAGCAUGUGUGAGGCACUGGGUUCAAUCCUCAGCAUCAUAU
rnacentral:tRNA from 1 species